GGGUAAGUCCUAUACGACCAGCUCCUAACAAACCCUCCAGGGCGGGAACGCAGCAAAGGUAGUUAGUUGUAGCGGUGCGAUAUAGUUCGCUUACCCUU
rnacentral:SRP_RNA from 1 species